CUGGUGCACAGCUAGGGUACUUCGAGUUGCUUUUACACCGAAGAGCCGAGCCAACUGAAUGUCGUCACGCGUAAUGAACAUGCCGAGUCGCAGAGAAUAGAGAGAAGAGGGUGUGUUUAAGGCAUACGAGGAGAAUCCAGAGACAGGAGGAGCCGUGGAGGUUCAAGAAGAUGAAGGCCUGCAAGUGGAGCUUCCAGUUGACCAGAGACAGGCAGAAACAGUGGAUGAAGAAGAAUAUGUGGAAGAAACUUUGAAGGAUGAGGACUUAUCUGAAGACAACAAAUGGGAAAGUCAAGUUGAUGCUGGCCAAGAGGCAGAUGAACAUACUGAAGAGGAUACUUUUGCCAACUGGGGUGACCAUGAAGAAGACCUUAUUAAUGAUAACGAAGAGGACAUCAACAAGGCAGCAGAGGAGCUCCCUCAGGAAACACCAAAGGAGCCCUCUCAAGAGCUGGAGAACCAGCAUCAAGAGAUGCCAGAGCUCGAGGAGGAGGAAAGCAGAAAGUCUUGCAGUCCUUUAAAAACACCAUCCAGCCCAGAAAACAAAAUCUCGGUGGAGUGAAAAUGCAGAAAAAAAACGGAUGAAUAUGCUCUUGUGGCUUAGUGAGCCCAUCAAUCAGCUAAAUCACAUCACAACACAAAUACAUUGUUAGACUGAACAUGCGUGAACUGCAAAACCUAUAAACUACCUAGAACUCUACUAUCUUGUGCAAGAUAAUCAUUAUGGGCAUCACAGGGAGAUAUGCUAUCAACAUAAGCUAAGUAUAGAAUGUUUUAGGGUGCAUAUCUGUAUCUAAUGAGUGCAGCACAUUAAUGUAUUUAUCUAAUGAAUGUUAUAGAGCCAUAGCUAAUGUCUGUCAGAGACACCAGUGAGUGAUAUGGAGGCUUUUUAAUUAUGUAGACAUGGCGAAGCUGUACAGUUGCAAGAUUAUUGUGUACAUGGCAAUUUAGCCUGCCUAGGAUCCCACUUCAACAUAGUACUGUUUGAACUAAAAGAUGACUGUUAUAAAACAUUAUGGUUUAACCUUCAGUUACGCUUCAGGUUACUGAAAGAACUUAUCCUUUUAAGACGUCAUAUUUGGAGAUCACUGGCGACCAUGGAUGAUCCUCCAAGGAGGAUAAAAAAUGUAAUAUCUUGAGUACAGAAUACAAAUUAGGUAUACGUACUAGGACCAGUGGGUUCAGUUUUUUUAAUGUUUGUCUUAUCUAUACAUACAUGUUCCUUGUGCAAAACUUUAAUUGUGUUUAACUUUUCAGUGAGUAUAAAUCGCUGGGCCAAAUCAACUUCAUCAAAGUUAGUUAGCCAUCUAGCAGUAUGUCUGGUCUGCUGUCUUACCCAUUGUGACAGGUUAUCCAACCUGUAUAUAUUAUAGAAUAGGACUAUCUAACAGUCUGUUAAAUUACGUAUAUUUCCGAUUUCUAGUCCAGCCUACAUCUAUAUCUAUCUGUGUGUAUAGGCAGUACUAUAAGGUAUGAGACACCUUGAGUAAAAUGAAUGUUAGGUAUACUGGCCUCCGAUUCCACAUGUAAACCAUCUAAUAAAAUGUCCUUAUAUUUGUGUUCAAAAUGUAUUGUGUUGAAAUACACAAGUUGCCUUAUUAGGUUGUACACUUACCCUUACACCUGUACUUAUUUUUUUAUUAUUAUUAUCUUGUUCUUUUGCUAUCUGACUUGCACAUCAAAAAAUCAUGGAAUUUUGAAAAUGCCAAAUUAGUAAAGUGCACUUAUACAUUAAAGUACAAUUUACUGUCAUAGCCUAAAUGUCAAUUUAAUGAAUUGGAUUACCGAGUCGUGAAAUAACGAGGAAGUGUAUAAAUAUAACAGAUCACUUGGAUCAUUAUUUAAUAAGACAAUACACUAUAUAACAUACUGGAGUUUUAGAUGAGAACAAAACAAGAUUUUUUUUUCUUAUAAUGGUCUUCAAACAUUAUAUUUUCCUCUACAGUAUAUAAUGACAGAAUGAAACCUCUGCUUUCAAUUAUUUUCCUUUUUUUUCCUUUUUGAUUAUUAAACUGAGCAAAUACACGAGCUUGAAUGUAGUCAAAUUUACCAUUGCUGUUUGAAGUGGAAAAAAUAAAUAUGCAGCUCAUUAUUUUGAAACCUCUUUAGUUCAAAGUCACUAUUCUAUAUAUUUUUAACACAGAUUGUACACUCACUUUCUUUUAA